rnacentral:rRNA from 1 species
GACGAACGCUGGCGGCGUGCCUAAUACAUGCAAGUAGAACGCUGAAGGAGGAGCUUGCUUCUCUGGAUGAGUUGCGAACGGGUGAGUAACGCGUAGGUAACCUGCCUGGUAGCGGGGGAUAACUAUUGGAAACGAUAGCUAAUACCGCAUAAGAGUAGAUGUCGCAUGACAUUUGCUUAAAAGGUGCAAUUGCAUCACUACCAGAUGGACCUGCGUUGUAUUAGCUAGUUGGUGAGGUAACGGCUCACCAAGGCAACGAUACAUAGCCGACCUGAGAGGGUGAUCGGCCACCCUGGGACUGAGACACGGCCCAGACUCCUACGGGAGGCAGCAGUAGGGAAUCUUCGGCAAUGGACGGAAGUCUGACCGAGCAACGCCGCGUGAGUGAAGAAGGUUGUCGGAUCGUAAAGCUCUGUUGUAAGAGAAGAACGAGUGUGAGAGUGGAAAGUUCACACUGUGACGGUAUCUUACCAGAAAGGGACGGCUAACUACGUG